GACGAACGCUGGCGGCGUGCUUAACACAUGCAAGUCGAACGGAAAGGCCCUGCUUUUGUGGGGUGCUCGAGUGGCGAACGGGUGAGUAACACGUGAGUAACCUGCCCUUGACUUUGGGAUAACUUCAGGAAACUGGGGCUAAUACCGGAUAGGAGCUCCUGCUGCAUGGUGGGGGUUGGAAAGUUUCGGCGGUUGGGGAUGGACUCGCGGCUUAUCAGCUUGUUGGUGGGGUAGUGGCUUACCAAGGCUUUGACGGGUAGCCGGCCUGAGAGGGUGACCGGCCACAUUGGGACUGAGAUACGGCCCAGACUCCUACGGGAGGCAGCAGUGGGGAAUAUUGCACAAUGGGCGGAAGCCUGAUGCAGCAACGCCGCGUGCGGGAUGACGGCCUUCGGGUUGUAAACCGCUUUCGCCUGUGACGAAGCGUGAGUGACGGUAAUGGGUAAAGAAGCACCGGCUAACUACGUGCCAGCAGCCGCGGUGAUACGUAGGGUGCGAGCGUUGUCCGGAUUUAUUGGGCGUAAAGGGCUCGUAGGUGGUUGAUCGCGUCGGAAGUGUAAUCUUGGGGCUUAACCCUGAGCGUGCUUUCGAUACGGGUUGACUUGAGGAAGGUAGGGGAGAAUGGAAUUCCUGGUGGAGCGGUGGAAUGCGCAGAUAUCAGGAGGAACACCAGUGGCGAAGGCGGUUCUCUGGGCCUUUCCUGACGCUGAGGAGCGAAAGCGUGGGGAGCGAACAGGCUUAGAUACCCUGGUAGUCCACGCUGUAAACGGUGGGUACUAGGUGUGGGGUCCAUUCCACGGGUUCCGUGCCGUAGCUAACGCUUUAAGUACCCCGCCUGGGGAGUACGGCCGCAAGGCUAAAACUCAAAGGAAUUGACGGGGCCCCGCACAAGCGGCGGAGCAUGCGGAUUAAUUCGAUGCAACGCGUAGAACCUUACCUGGGUUUGACAUGGAUCGGGAGUGCUCAGAGAUGGGUGUGCCUCUUUUGGGGUCGGUUCACAGGUGGUGCAUGGCUGUCGUCAGCUCGUGUCGUGAGAUGUUGGGUUAAGUCCCGCAACGAGCGCAACCCUUGUUCACUGUUGCCAGCACGUUAUGGUGGGGACUCAGUGGAGACCGCCGGGGUCAACUCGGAGGAAGGUGGGGAUGACGUCAAGUCAUCAUGCCCCUUAUGUCCAGGGCUUCACGCAUGCUACAAUGGCUGGUACAGAGAGUGGCGAGCCUGUGAGGGUGAGCGAAUCUCGGAAAGCCGGUCUCAGUACGGAUUGGGGUCUGCAACUCGACCUCAUGAAGUCGGAGUCGCUAGUAAUCGCAGAUCAGCAACGCUGCGGUGAAUACGUUCCCGGGGCU
rnacentral:rRNA from 1 species